AACGAACGCUGGCGGCAUGCCUAACACAUGCAAGUCGAACGAGACCUUCGGGUCUAGUGGCGCACGGGUACGUAACGCGUGGGAACCUGCCCUUAGGUUCUGAAUAACUCCCCGAAAGGGAUGCCAAUACCGGAUAAUGUCUUCGGACCAAAGAUUUAUCGCCAUUGGAUGGUCCCGCGUUGGAUUAGCUAGUUGGUAGGGUAAAAGCCUACCAAGGCGACGAUCCAUAGCUGGUCUGGGAGGAUGAUCAGCCACACUGGGACUGAGACACGGCCCAGACUCCUACGGGAGGCAGCAGUGGGGAAUAUAGGACAAUGGAGGAAAGCCUGAUCCAGCAAUGCCGCGUGAGUGAUGAAGGCCUUAGGGUUGUAAUGCUCUUUUACCCGGGAUGAUAAUGACAGUACCGGGAGAAUAAGCUCCGGCUAACUCCGUG
rnacentral:rRNA from 1 species